rnacentral:rRNA from 1 species
GACGGAGGGUGCUAGCGUUGUUCGGAAUCACUGGGCGUAAAGGGCGCGUAGGCGGUCAUUCAAGUCGAGUGUGAAAGCCCGGGGCUCAACCUCGGAACUGCAUUCGAUACUGGAUGGCUUGAGGCCGGAAGAGGAGAGUGGAAUACCCAGUGUAGAGGUGAAAUUCGUAGAUAUUGGGUGGAACACCAGUGGCGAAAGCGGCUCUCUGGUCCGGUCCUGACGCUGAGGUGCGAAAGCGUGGGGAGCAAACAGG